rnacentral:rRNA from 1 species
GAGUUUGAUCCUGGCUCAGGACGAACGCUGGCGGCGUGCUUAACACAUGCGAGUCGAACGAUGAUGUCCAGUUUGCUGGGUGGAAAAGGGGCGAACGGGUGAGAAACACGUGAGAAACCUGCCCCUGACUCUGGGAAAACCGUUGGAAACGACUUCAAAUACGGGAAAUGACCGCCGAUCGCAUGGUCUGGUGGUGGAAAAAUUUUUUUGGUUUCGGGAUGGACCCGCGGCCUAUCACCUUUUUUGGUGAGGUAAUGGCUCACCAAGGCAACAACGGGUACCCGGCCUGAGAGGGUGACCGGCCACACUGGGACUGAAAACACGGCCCAAACUCCUACGGGAGGCAGCAGUGGGGGAAAUAUUGCACAAUGGGGCGCAAGCCUGGAUGCACCGACGCCGCGUGAGGGAAAAGGGCCUUCGGGGUUGUAAACCUUUUUCAGUAGGGAAGAAGGGAAAAGGACGGGACCUGCAGAAGAAGCGCCGGCUAAAUACGUGCCAGCAGCCGCGGUAAUAAGUAGGGGGCAAGCGUUAUCCGGAUUCAUUGGGGGUAAAGGGCGUGUAGGCGGUUCAAUAGGUUCGAUGUGAAAACUCGAGGCUCAACUUCGAGAGGCCAUCGGAAACCAUUGGACUAGAGUCCGGAAGAGGAGAGUGGAAUUCCUGGGGUAGCGGUGAAAUGCGCAGAUAUCAGGAAGAACACCGAUGGCGAAGGCAGCUUUUUGGGACGGUACUGACGCUAAGACGCGAAAGCGUGGGGAGCGAACAGGAUUAGAUACCCUGGUAGUC